GAUCUGGCUCAGGAUGAACGCAGCGACAGGCUUAACACAUGCAAGUCGAGGGGCAGCAUAGAAGUAGCAAUACUUGGGUGGCGACCGGCGCACGGGUGAGUAACGCGUAUGCAACCUACCUAUCAGAGGGAAUAACCGGCGAAAGUCGGACUAAUACCGCAUAAACAGGGGCACCGCAUGGUGAUAUUUGUUAAAGAAAUUCGCUGAUAGAUGGGCAUGCGUUCCAUUAGGUAGUUGGUGAGGUAACGGCUCACCAAGCCGACGAUGGAUAGGGGAACUGAGAGGUUGGUCCCCCACACUGGUACUGAGACACGGACCAGACUCCUACGGGAGGCAGCAGUGAGGAAUAUUGGUCAAUGGGCGGGAGCCUGAACCAGCCAAGUCGCCGUGAAGGAAGAAGGAUCUAUGGUUCGUAAACUUCUUUUGCAGGGGAAUAAAGUGCAGGACGUGUCCUGUUUUGUAUGUACCCUGAGAAUAAGGAUCGGCUAACUCCGUGCCAGCCGCCGC
rnacentral:rRNA from 1 species